GCAGGCUGUCUGCCUGAUGCACCAAGAGAACCUGCCCGAUGCCCAGCCGCCAGCCGCCCAUCGCCGCCUCCGCCUGCCUCACCGCCCUCGCCGGUCGCCAGAAACGCAGCCGCCUAGGAGGCUCCUACGCCCCUGCUUCUCUGUCGCGCCCGCGGCCUGCCCGGCGCUCGGUGCUAGCCUCGCCACCGCCCCUGGACGGGACCCUGCCCUGACCCGACCGCCCGGCGCUUCUGCAAGCCGGCGGCAGCCACCCAGUCGGCACUCCAGCACUCAGCUCGGACUGAUUUGAGUUUGCGAGAAUACUCCACAACCACUUGCUGGUGUGGUGCAGUAGUUUGAGUUGGAGCGCACACGGCGACGAUGGCGCGAGAGCUGAUGGCACCAAUCGAGUUUGGUGCGCCGGCUAGUUCUGCGCAGCCACCACUGGGCUAAAUUAAGAGUUAAAUUAACCAUCUCGGAGUGUGCUCUAAUCAUUGCGCGUGUCGUGUUUACCUGUCUGCACGUUGAGAGCCCGCAAACAAUCCACAAAUGGACCCCUUGAUCA